ACCUCUUGGGUUCACCCCCUCUGGAGCAGGGUCUCAGGUUGGGCCACAGGCCCAAGUCCGGGUCAGGGCCAUCUCUUUCUCACCAGCACUGACUCUCACCCACAGUGCCGCCAGUCAUCCGUGUCUAUCCAGAGAGCCAGGCACAGGAGCCCGGAGUGGCGGCCAGCCUGAGAUGCCAUGCUGAGGGCAUUCCCAUGCCCAGAAUCACUUGGCUGAAAAACGGCGUGGAUGUCUCAACUCAGAUGUCUAAACAGCUUUCCCUUUUAGCCAAUGGGAGCGAACUCCACAUCAGCAGUGUUCGGUAUGAAGACACAGGGGCAUACACCUGCAUUGCCAAAAAUGAAGUGGGUGUGGAUGAAGAUAUCUCCUCGCUCUUCAUUGAAGACUCAGCUAGAAAGACCCUUGCAAACAUCCUGUGGCGAGAGGAAGGAAUUGCAUCUCGUGCCUGCACCAGAUGCAUCCACGUGGCCGGUUUCUUGUGUGUUCAGUGCUGCGUGUGACCCUGCCCGGGGGCCGACUGCUUGGAGGACAUACCCGUUCCAUUUGCUCCUCCCAGGCCUCAGCGUGGGAAACAUGUUCUAUGUCUUCUCCGACGACGGCAUCAUCGUCAUCCAUCCUGUGGACUGUGAAAUCCAGAGGCACCUCAAACCCACAGAAAAGAUUUUCAUGAGCUAUGAAGAAAUAUGUCCUCAAAGAGAAAAAAAUGCAACCCAGCCCUGCCAGUGGGUAUCUGCAGUCAACGUCCGGAACCGGUACAUCUAUGUGGCCCAGCCAGCACUGAGCAGAGUCCUUGUGGUCGACAUCCAAGCCCAGAAAGUCCUACAGUCCAUAGGUGUGGACCCUCUGCCGGCUAAGCUGUCCUAUGACAAGUCACAUGACCAAGUGUGGGUCCUGAGCUGGGGGGACGUGCACAAGUCCCAACCAAGUCUCCAGGUGAUCACAGAAGCCAGCGCCGGCCAGGGCCAGCACCUCAUCCGCACACCCUUCGCAGGAGUGGAUGAUUUCUUCAUUCCCCCAACAAACCUCAUCAUCAACCACAUCAGGUUUGGCUUCAUCUUCAACAAGUCUGACCCUGUGGUCCACAAGGUGGACCUGGAAACAAUGAUGCCCCUCAAGACCAUCGGCCUGCACCACCAUGGCUGCAUGCCCCAGGCCAUGGCGCACACCCACCUGGGCGGCUACUUCUUCAUCCAGUGCCGUCAGGACAGCCCCGCCUCUGCUGCCCGACAGCUGCUCGUUGACAGUGUCACAGACUCUGUGAUUGGCCCCAAUGGUGAUGUAACAGGCACCCCACACACAUCCCCCGACGGGCGCUUCAUAGUCAGUGGUGCAGCUGACAGCCCCUGGCUGCACGUGCAGGAGAUCACAGUGCGGGGCGAGAUCCAGACCCUGUAUGACCUGCAAAUAAACUCGGGCAUCUCAGACUUGGCCUUCCAGCGCUCCUUCACUGAAAGCAAUCAAUACAACAUCUAUGCGGCUCUGCACAUGGAGCCAGACCUGCUGUUCCUGGAGCUGUCCACGGGGAAGGUGGGCAUGCUGAAGAACUUAAAGGAGCCACCCACAGGGCCAGCCCAGCCCUGGGGGGGUGCCCGCAGAAUCAUGAGGGACAGUGGGCUUUUUGGACAGUACCUCCUCACACCAGCCCGAGAGUCACUGUUCCUCAUCAAUGGGAGACAAAACACGCUGCGGUGUGAGGUGUCAGGUAUAAAGGGGGGGACCACAGUGGUGUGGGUGGGUGAGGUAUGAAGGACCCAGAGCAGAGCCCUGGGCCAAGGAGCACCCCCUAGUCCUGACACUGCAGCCCCAAGCAGGUGCGCUGUACAUUUUUACAGACAAAAGCAAAAACCUGUACUCGCUUUGUGGUUCAACACUGGUCUCCUUGCAAGUUUCCUAGUAUAAGGUAUGCGCUGCUACCAAGAUUGGGGUUUUUUUGUUAGGAAGUAUGAUUUAUGCCUUGAGCUACAAUGAGAACACAUGCUGCUGUGUAAAGGGAUCAUUUCUGUGCCAAGCUGCACACUGCGUGACCUGGGGACAUCAUGGAACCAAGGGAUCCUGCUCUCCAAGCAGACGCCUCUGUCAGUUGCCUUCACAUAGUCAUUGUCCCUUACCGCCAGACCCAGCCAGACUCUGCCCUGACAGAGUGGCCCGGAAGCAGAGGCCGACCAGGAGCAGGGGCCUCCCUCUCGAACUGAAAGCCCAUCCGUCCUCGCGUGGGACCACAUCUUCUCCCUCGCGGCUGCUUCUUGCUUUUCUUUCCAUUUGACUUGCUGUAAGCCUGAGGGAGAGCCAACAAGACUUACUGCAUCUUGGGGAAUGGGGAAAUCACUCACUUUAUUUUGGAAAUUUUUGAUUAAAAAAAUUUUUGUAAUCUC
rnacentral:sRNA from 1 species